CAAUUUGUCUGUAACAUUGUGGAGAAGGCCCUGGUGCUGGUGAACACUGAUGUGACUUACUUGAAGCCUUGAUUUGAAGCCCUUGAUACUAUGCCAGGGUGGAGCUUGUUCCUCCAACCUCUGCUGAGAUCCCUAGAGCAAUUCAGAGCCUGGAAAAAAUAGGCAAUAGUGCUCAAACUGGUAGCUCCAGACAGCUCAGUUAAAGAAGCUGCUCUGGUUUGGUAGCCACUGAGGUGUGGGUGUGGAUUUACACUGGAGAGAUCAUAGGCAAUCGUGGCAUCACUGGCUAUAAUAUUUGA
rnacentral:lncRNA from 1 species